rnacentral:tRNA from 1 species
AUUAUUUUGGCAGAAUAGUGCGAUUGAUUUAGAAUCAUUAUAUGUAAUUGCUUACAAAUAAUA